rnacentral:rRNA from 1 species
GGGUUGUGAGGUUAAGCGACUAAGCGUACACGGUGGAUGCCCUGGCAGUCAGAGGCGAUGAAGGACGUGCUAAUCUGCGAUAAGCGUCGGUAAGGUGAUAUGAACCGUUAUAACCGGCGAUUUCCGAAUGGGGAAACCCAGUGUGAUUCGUCACACUAUCAUUAACUGAAUCCAUAGGUUAAUGAGGCGAACCGGGGGAACUGAAACAUCUAAGUACCCCGAGGAAAAGAAAUCAACCGAGAUUCCCCCAGUAGCGGCGAGCGAACGGGGAGCAGCCCAGAGCCUGAAUCAGUGUGUGUGUUAGUGGAAGCGUCUGGAAUGGCGUGCGAUACAGGGUGACAGCCCCGUACACAAAAAUGCACAUACUGUGAGCUCGAUGAGUAGGGCGGGACACGUGGUAUCCUGUCUGAAUAUGGGGGGACCAUCCUCCAAGGCUAAAUACUCCUGACUGACCGAUAGUGAACCAGUACCGUGAGGGAAAGGCGAAAAGAACCCCGGCGAGGGGAGUGAAAAAGAACCUGAAACCGUGUACGUACAAGCAGUGGGAGCACGCUUAGGCGUGUGACUGCGUACCUUUUGUAUAAUGGGUCAGCGACUUAUAUUCUGUAGCAAGGUUAACCGAAUAGGGGAGCCGAAGGGAAACCGAGUCUUAACUGGGCGUUAAGUUGCAGGGUAUAGACCCGAAACCCGGUGAUCUAGCCAUGGGCAGGUUGAAGGUUGGGUAACACUAACUGGAGGACCGAACCGACUAAUGUUGAAAAAUUAGCGGAUGACUUGUGGCUGGGGG